AAUAUUCAUUUCCUUUUUCGGUUUCUAUUUCCUUAUUCGGUUUCUAUUUCCUAAUUGGAUUUUCGUUUCCUUAUUCGAUUUCCAUUUCCUUAUUCGAUUUUCAUUUCCUAAUUCGGUUUCUUUUUCCUUUUUCAAUAUUCAUUUCCUUUUUUCGGUUUCUAGUUCCUUAUUCGGUUUCUAUUUCCUUAUUGGAUUUUCAUUUCCUUAUUCAAUUUCCAUUUCCUUAUUCGGUUUCUUUUUCCUUAUUCGGUUCCUUUUUCCUUAUUCGGUUUCUUUUUCCUUUUUCAAUAUUCAUUACCUUUUUCGGUUUCUAUUUCCUUAUUCGGUUUCUAUUUCCUUUUUCGAUUUUCAUUUCCUUAUUUGGUUUCCAUUUUCCUUUUUCGAUAUUCAAAUUUUGAAAAAUAUUACAAGUCCAAACUGAAUUUUUUUUUUCCUUCAAAAUUUUUUUUCCUUCAAAAUUUUUUUCCUCAAAAUUUUUUUUUCCUCAAAUUUUUUUUUCCUCAAAAUUUUUUUUCCUCAAAAUUUUUUUUCCUCAAAAUUUUUUUUUCCUCAAUUUUUUUUUCCUCAAAUUUUUUUUUUCCUCAAAAUAUUUUUCCUCAAAAAGUUUUUUUUCAUUUCCUUAUUCGUUUUCUUUUUCCUUUUUCGAUUAUCAUCCUUAUUUGAUUUCCAUUUCCUUAUUCGAUUUUCAUUUCCUUAUUCGAUUUUCUUUUCCUUAUUCGGUUUCUUCUUCCUUUUUCAAUAUUCAUUUCCUUUUUCAGUUUCUACUUCCUUUUUCAAUAUUCAUUUCCUUUUUCGGUUUCUAUUUCCUUAUUCGGUUUCUAUUUCCUUAUUCGGUUUCUAUUUCCUAAUUGGAUUUUCGUUUUCUUAUUCGAUUUCCAUUUCCUUAUUCGAUUUUCAUUUCCUAAUUCGGUUUCUUUUUCUUUUUCAAUAUUCAUUUCCUUUUUCGGUUUCUAGUUCCUUAUUCGGUUUCUAUUUCCUUAUUGGAUUUUCAUUUCCUUAUUCAAUUUCCAUUUCCUUUUUUCGGUUUCUUUUUCCUUAUUCGGUUCCUUUUUCCUUAUUCGGUUUCUUUUUCCUUUUUCAAUAUUCAUUUCCUUUUUCGGUUUCUAUUUCCUUAUUCGGUUUCUAUUUCCUUAUUCAAUUUUCAUUUCCUUAUUCAGUUUCUUUUUCCUUUUUCAAUAUUCAUUUCCCUAUUCGGUUUCUAUUUCCUUAUUCAGUUUCUAUUUCCUUAUUGGAUUUUCAUUUCCUUAUUCGAUUUCCAUUUCCUUAUUCGAUUUUCAUUUCCUUAUUCGGUUUCUUUUUCCUUUUUCAAUAUUCCUUUCCUUUUUCGGUUUCUAUUUCCUUAUUCAGUUUCUAUUUCCUAAAUGGAUUUUCGUUUCCUUAUUCGAUUUCCAUUUCCUUAUUCGAUUUUCAUUUCCUAAUUCGGUUUCUUUUUCCUUUUUCAAUAUUCAUUUCCUUUUUCGGUUUCUAUUUCCUUAUUCGGUUUCUAUUUCCUUUUUCGAUUUUCAUUUCCUUAUUCGGUUUCCAUUUCCUUUUUCGAUAUUCAAAUUUUGAAAAAUAUUACAAGUCCAAACUGAAUUUUUUUUUUCCUUCAAAAUUUUUUUCCUCAAAAUUUUUUUUCCUCAAAAUUUUUUU
rnacentral:lncRNA from 1 species